AAGCCGAGCAAGGAAGGCAAAAGUUAAUCUUAUCUUCAUGGGCAGCUCGCAAUGACGUCCUUUUUCUGUGCCACAGCUGACAACAACAUCCCAGACAGAAAAGUAACAGGCCAAAAAGAAACCUAGCAGCUGCUGAAACAGUUCAGUUGGGAGCGUGCUAGACUAACAGGCUCUUCUAACCUCCUUUAUGCACGGGCGGGAUGUUUUCUGAGAGUGCAGCAGUUCCUUUAACUGCCACGAGUCCCUCAUUUCAGGCUAUGCAGCUGGAAAAGACAGCAUGGGCUUCUGCACCGAGUUGGCCCACCUGACCUUUCAUUCUUCUCUUGCUCUUUGUCAGCAAGGAGAAGAAAAAGAAGCUCUCCCUCAAGCUGGAGUCACACGGGCGAGGUGCCUCCUUCCAACACUUGUCAGAAAAAAUGACCGGUUUCUUUUACAAGCAUUUGCAUUGCAAGGCAGAGGCAGUCUUCUCUGCUUCCUCAAAAGAUUGACCAAAAAGUGGGAGGAGUGGACACAUUUGGCAAGGCACCACCACUGGGUUCUGCAUCUCUAACCUCCACUUUACCUGGCAAGUGCCUCUGGGACUUUUCUCCCAGCUGCUCCAUUUUUCAUCAGUGACAAUCAAAAGGAAGACGACAUGACAUCUGUGUGUGGACAUCCCCAGUGAAUCACAAGGACGUGUGGUGCAGGCUUUUAUGUUGCAGCAAUUGCAGUCAAAGCAACCACCAUGCCAAUGCCAGUCACAGCAGCCUUUUCAUCAACUCCAGGCUUGUGAUUUGAUUCUUUCCAACGUUUCUCUCCAAAGAAGCCUUUUCCUUAGCAAGCAAUGACUUGGAUACCAAGGGAGGUCUCUUCUGUUUCCUAGAAAGACACAGGAAAAUGUGAGCAGAGGAGACAAAAGCCAUACAACAAGGCACCACUGGGAGUUGAACCCAGGAUCUCCUGUUUACUAGACAGGUGCUUUAGCCAGCUAAGCCAAGGUGCCUGCCUUGAGAAAGUACUUGCAACUGUUCCCUUUGAUGGUCCAGGACAACACCUGCAAAUUCCAAACUACAGACAUUCCCCAUUUCCCUCAAGACUUGCAAGGAAGAACUGGCAGGCCAAGCCAGGAUCUCCUGGUUACUAGGAAGACACUUCAGCCAGCUCUUCCCAAAGAUCACUAUCUAGAGACCUUUAAACAGCCUCUGUAGAUGUUCACUGACAAAGAGAUGCCAAAAUAGAGUUCUCCACUGCCUGCAGCCAUCACACUACCAGGAGUUCUGCGCACAGAGAGGCCCCUGCUGGUGGAAAAGGCUUUGGUAGAGACUCUUCUGACACCAGCCUGUGCUCAUAUACUGUUUAGCACUUUGUGUUGUGACGUCAGCAUCCACAGAUGCCAGUUGAGUUGGAGGACAUUUUUCCUGUCUCCACAUUUGUCUAAUGGCUCCUUUCAACACUUGCCACCAAAAAGACUUGUUUCUUUUGCAAGCAAUGUACAGCUAGGCAAAGGCAGUCUUCUCCAUUUCCUCAGAAGAUCACCAAGCUGUGGGGAGAGAAGACACAUUCAGCCAAGCUGGAUGCUGAAUCUCCUCUUUAUUCAGCAGGUGUCUGUGAAGGACAUAAAUCUCCACCGUGUAGAGGGCAAGAAUAGGAGUUUAUUACACACAGCACUGGCAGAGUGU